rnacentral:rRNA from 1 species
ACUCCUACGGGAGGCAGCAGUAGGGAAUCUUCCACAAUGGGCGCAAGCCUGAUGGAGCAACACCGCGUGAGUGAAGAAGGGUUUCGGCUCGUAAAGCUCUGUUGUUAAAGAAGAACACGUAUGAGAGUAACUGUUCAUACGUUGACGGUAUUUAACCAGAAAGUCACGGCUAACUACGUGCCAGCAGCCGCGGUAAUACGUAGGUGGCAAGCGUUAUCCGGAUUUUAUUGGGCGUAAAGAGAGUGCAGGUCGGUUUUCUAAGUCUGAUGUGAAAGCCUUCGGCUUAACCGGAGAAGUGCAUCGGAAACUGGAUAACUUGAGUGCAGAAGAGGUAGUGGAACUCCGAUGUGUAGCGGUGGAAUGCGU